ensembl:lncRNA novel transcript
AGUACUCAAAUGGGAAGGAGGAGGAUCAAGAGGGUUUUGUGAUUGACUGGGUUCAGCUGGAUUCCUGGAAGAGGUCUCUCAUUCAAUUGCAGUCAAAUUGUAGCUGAGACUACAAUAUGAAGACUCAGUUGGAUUCGGAUAGCUUAUUCACAUGGUUGAUUGUUGAUAUUGGCUAUUGACUAGUUGCUCAAAUUGGGCUGUUAACUGGAGAACCUACAAGUCUUUUCGCCAUAUGGCCAGGUUUCUUAAAGCAUGCCAGCUCGGUGCUAAAAGAGAAUUCCAAAUGCCUCAGCCGUAAGAAUCAUUAAUAACCUGAAAAUGUGGAGGUUAUCUCUCACCAUACACAAAGAGACGGGGUUUCACCGUGUUGGCCAGACUCUUCUCGAACUCCUGACAUCAGGCAAUCAGCUCGCCUCAGCCUCCCAAAGUGCUGGGAUUACAGAUAUGAGCGACCACGCCCGGCCAGAUUUAAGUUUUUAAAAGAUUAUUCUGAAGCAGUGUGGAGAAUACACUGGAGGAAACCGGGAAGUUCCAUGUGAAGGUUACUGUGAUACCCUAGGUGAGCAGCGUUGGAGAAUUGGAUGAGAACACAAGAGGAGAGACAGACAGUAAUAGAGUCAAGAAAUAUAAAGCAGAAUAAUAAAGCUUGCUGAUGGAUUGGAGAACAUUCUUAGCGUAUGACCCGGGCAUAGGGUACCGGUUAAGUUCUCCAUUCUGGAAAGAUGAGACGAAAGAUUCACUGUUGCAGAGUCUGUCUAAGGUAUGAGUGUCCCCUCUCUGGGACAGAUUCCACUGCCAUUCUUCCGACCACAAGAAGGAAACUUCAGACACCAAAGAAGAGGCACCAGUCAACUAAUUAAACGGGAGGAUUUUUUUCUAUAAAAUAUAAAAUUAUAUGAGUUUAAGUUUUCUUAGUUUCUGUUUUCUUCUACCAGUUCUAAUAGUUUAAAAGUUGUGUAUUUUAUUUAUAUUCCAGUAGUUACUCAUAAAACAUUACCUAACAUACUAAAAUUAUUGUUUCCUAUUAAUUAUAGAACAUUUUAUUGAGAUUGUCUUUGUAGAGAUGCUUUGGCAUUCUUGUCAUCGACAUUUUUAAAUCAUUUGGAAUUUAAUUGCAUAUUCUCAUUUGAAAAUACAAUUUUUGAAAUCAAUAUUUAUUUAAAAAUAUAUAUUACUAACUUUUUUGCCUUAGAGCUUCUUAGAGAGAAGUUCUCUGUAUGGUAAAUAUUCUGAGUCCUUCUAUGUCUGGACAUUUCUUUUACUCUCAUUCUUGAGUGAUCUUUAACUGAGUUGAGAAUUCUUGUUUCAGCACUUUGAAGCCACUGAUUCUUUAUCUUCCUAUAUCCAGGGAUGCUAUUAAACCAGUGGUCAGUGAGUCUUUUUUUCUUUGGGGGUGACCUGCUUUAUUUUUCCCUAAUAAUGGCAGUUUCUGAGUGUUCUCUUUUUUGUCUUAGAAAUUUAUUAUAUAUCUCUCUAUUCAGUUGUGUGAAUUUUUUGUCUAUUAUUUUCUCAAAUAGUAUCUUUUUUUAAAUCUUCCUCUUCCCAUCUUCCUAUUAAAAAUGAAGAUGAUUUGACUCUUGCCUUCUAUGUGUUCAUUUUACUCAUGUUUCUCAUCUCUUUAUCCUUUGCAUCAGGUAUGUUGAGACAUUUCUCCAGCUCAACACUGAAGCUUACAAUUUCCAAUCCACCAAAACUUUUCUUUAUAUUUUAAACUGGCUUUGCAUUGUCUUUUUGAUAGUGUUUUCUAUCAAUCCCAACAUUUGUUAAUGGGGAUAAACUGCCUCAUGUGUCAAAUCCACUGUCUUAAAUCCAGCCCCAUUGCUUUUUUCUUCUGUCUCUCAUUCUAUCAAGAUAUAACUGGAGUUGAACAGAAACAUAGAAAAAAUAGAAUAAUGUGGUUUUAUUGUUAAAAUACAAUCUGUUGUAAACUUUAUUUUACUUGUAGCAAUAUUCAGUAAGUGACUGUUACUACAGUAUGCCAGACACUGUUUUAGGCAUUUAGGAUAUACUAGUGAACAAAAGAGGAAAAAAGAAAAUAUCCUUGCCCACCUUAGGACAUUCCAAUGUCUUUUCUAGUAUUUUGCUAACACAGUUCCUGUGAUACUAAGUUUUUUAAAUAAUCUGGAGCCUGUACAAUAACACAUAUGACAAUUGCUCAUUUUUACAUACUUAUUGAUCAACAGUAUUUGCUGAAUAUUCACAUAUAAGUCACUGUGCAAUUUUUUUGUGUGUGGGGCUAUAGAGAUCCUCAAAGAAAACUAAGGGAUCUCAUCAAAAACUCAAACCUUAAUACAUCUUAAAACUAUGGUAAAAAAUAAACAGAUACUUUCAACCUACCAUUGGAUAUUUCUAGAAAUAUUUCCUGUCUGUGACUCUUACCCCAUACUCUCCGGAUCUCUGUUCUCAUGUAUUCUUCUAAUGGUGCCAUCACCAGGAGCCUGUUUUUCGUGGACCAGAGCCCUCGUCCUGACCUCUACCAUCUGGGGUUUGUUGCUUGCAUGCUUCCAGCCCACUGAAAUGUAUAUCAUCUCCUCUAAACUCUGUGUCAGCAUUCUGAUCUUGCAAAUUAUUAACUAUCUAAUGUGAUAAACUAAUCUGUACUGAUGGGAUAGGGUUACAAGGAGCAACUACUGAAUGAUUCCUAACAUUGACUUUCUAGAUUAGAUGCCCUUGUCUUUUAUAAAGUCACUCUAAGAGUGGAAAUUGAACGCAAAAUUUAA